GACGAACGCUGGCGGCGUGCCUAACACAUGCAAGUCGCACGGGACCGGGGGCAACUCCGGUUCAGUGGCAGACGGGUGCGUAACACGUGAGGAACCUGUCCAACGGCGGGGGAUAGCCGGCCUAACGGCCGGGUAAUACCGCGUACGAUCGUCCGGGGGCAUCCCUGGGCGAUGAAAGCAGCCGCAAGGUUGCGCCGAUGGAGGGCCUCGCGGCCUAUCAGCUAGUUGGCGGGGUAACGGCCCACCAAGGCGACGACGGGUAGCUGGUCUGAGAGGAUGGCCAGCCACAUUGGGACUGAGACACGGCCCAGACUCCUACGGGAGGCAGCAGUGGGGAAUAUUGCGCAAUGGCCGCAAGGCUGACGCAGCGACGCCGCGU
rnacentral:rRNA from 1 species